GUCACCUGGACGUGGUGAGGGGGCCCAGUACCAUCAUGUUCACAAAGGCUCAGUUUCUGGGGCCGUGGACAUGGGGGGAAGCUAAGAACAGCCUGAAAUCUCGUGAUGUAUCAAUUGUUCCCCGUUAAUGAAUAGAGGUUUUGGUUGUCUUUUUAUCUCGAUGUUUUUGAGAGCAUAUUUGGGAAAAAGUAUAUCGUUAAUAUUUCUGAAAUUGAACGACCAAAAUUUUUGAUUAUUCUUGUCUCUUAUUUGGAGAUUUUAGUCUUGACGGAUAUAGAUUUUUCGCCGGUUCCACUAUUGGGCUGUUACGGUUGUUUUGGUUUGGAACUUGUUUUUCUGAUAAGGACUUUCUUAAUCCUAAUAAUUCUUCAAUUGGUUCUUCAUUGUUUUGUUUUUAUAUGGACUUCUUUUCUAAAAACCUUUUAAUCAUCUGGAUUUGGGAAAGGACCUGUCUGCACUAGUUUUUAAUUUUCCUUUUUUUCAAAACAAAUUCUCUUAUUUUAAGUUUUUAUCUAACAAACUUUUUUUAAUAAAUUAUUAUCAGUUAUUUAAUCUGUUGAAUUUCAUAUAGAAGUUCUGUUGAUUUGGCAAUGGAAUUAUAAAAGGUGUUUGCGAGUGCAAUCAUUUUUCUUCAUUCCUUUUCAGGGUAGCUUCAAGUUGUAACAUUCUGGAUUACAAAACUAAUACAUUAUGUGCAGUUCUUACUAUUUGUUUAAUUUUUGGAUUGAUUUUUUUGAGUUAUUCAUUUAUGUUCUUUUAAUAAUGUUUUUAUUCGUACUAGGUUGUUCAAAAGGAUUUCAAUGGUUUGGCAUCAUUUUGGUCUAAAUUUUCUAUGUUUUUAUUUUUGGACGACAGUUUCGAUUGAACGAUUGGGAUAGGAGUAGUUCGUUCAAGUUGUUUAGCGUUUUUAAGAGCAUUUUUUAUCUUUGCAAAUUUUGAUUGUAAUCUGCAAAAUUCUUUGACCAUAUUCAAAAUAAAAAUUGUUUAAAAAACAAUAAAUUGGUUUAUUUGAUUUUCUGUGUAAUGGAAACAAGGCCGGGUUUUCGUAAUUCUUGAAUUUGAUUUUUUUUCUUAUCGAUUUUUAUCAUAUUUGCUUGUAAUGUUGACCCGAUAUCUUUCUAACAAUUCUGUAAAUGCAGAUGGACCUAGAAAUUACGUGUUUCAUCUUUAAUAUUUUGUCCUGCUGUUAUUUUUGUCAUGACAUUUAAAAAAUAUCACAGGUUGUUCAAAAUGGUGUAAUCUUUCAAAAAGGAAUUUUUACCGUAGUCACAUGCUCUUAGGUUUGUUGAGUCAUAUCUAAUUGUGGAUAAAUUAAAAUGAGGUUGAAUUUAUUAUUUCAUCUAAAAUCUUAAUUCCACUGUUUACUGUUUAGUUUAUUUUGGAAUUUUGGGUAUGUGUCUAAGUAUUGAGAGGAAUGUGUCUUGUCUCAUUUGUAUUUUCACUCAGAUGAUUUUUCUUAACAUGUAUCUAGAUUUUUCCCUGAUUUUUAUAUUGAACUAUAAGGAUUAUUUAAAAUUAGAACUAUUAUUUCUGAUAAGAUCUUUACAAUUUCUAAUAAUUCUUUAAUUGGAUUUUUGUUUUGAAAUAUAGAAUCAAAGUCUAAAAUGGCACAAUAUUCUAAUAAAGUGUUAAUCUGGACUUCAGAAAGGGCGGCUGCACUUGUGUUUAAUUUUUCUUUUUUGUAAACAAUAUCAUCGAAUUCUUCCAGGAUUUUUAUUUCUUAUUUCUACAUUUUCAUUUGCCCUUCUCAUUACUUUCAGUUAUUUUUUUUUAGACGCAUUUCUUCAAUAAGAACAUCUUUUGGCAAGAUACUUGUUUACAUUCUUCUUACAAAUUCCACCUGAUUGAAUUUGACUAUUAUCUAUGGAUUUUUUUGCUUUUUUAAUUAUUUUUUCUUUCGUUCUUUUCUUUGAUUAACGUUCUGUAGUCCUUAGCCAUAACUUCUUUAAGAGUGUAUUAUCAAAACAUUGGUUUUCGUAUUUAUUGUAUGUGGGAUUUUUCAUAAGGUUCUUAUGGUCUCAUUUCUUGCUUGGCUUUUUCUUAACAUACCUCAAAGUACCCUUUACAAUUUGUCUGGUAUUUGUGCUCCAAAUUUGGUUGUUAUUAUAAAUCACCCUACAUUAAUUUUUUCUUUUAAAUACAGUUUAGGAAAAACUUCUACCCCAUUUCGCCAUUUGUCUCUCGUCAACUUGUCGGUUUUUCUCAACAUAUAUUGUCUCUUUUUGUAGUUAAACCCGAUAAGAAAUUGCUCAAUUUUCUUACCUGUUAAGGAUUUGUGCCCCUAUAAAUAAUGUUGAAACUUCUUCACUCAACAGUAUACAUUGUUUCCCUCUAAACCGUCGAGUAAUUUUUCUCUGUUGCUAUCUUGUUUUUCGAUCAUAUUAUUUAAAUCCGUUGACAUUCCGCCGUUUGUAGAAUCAUUUUGUCAUUAAGAUGGAUAGUUUUAUGAGGUUUUAUGGGCUAAAUAGAAGUGAAGUCAAAAAAUUUUUUAUUUUCUUAAAUAUUUCGUCACAUUUGCUGUUCUAAUUUAUUUUUGCAUUUUUUUCAGUAAGUGAUUGGUGGGUUUGAGUAAUAAAGCAAACGACUGUUAGCUUAAUUUCAGUUUCUUUUCAGUGAAGUUUUCGUUUAGUUCAAUUUCAGUUUAGUUUAGUGUUAGUUGCAGUUCAGUUUCAAUUCAAUUUUAAUUAAGUUCAGCUAACAACACUGUGGUGACGUGAACAACAGGAAAUAAGUGUUUACUGAUAGAAAUAGUGUCUCUAGAAAGUGCUUUAGGUCUCGAAAAAGUGUGUGCACAUUACGAAAUUAGAAGAACCAGACUUAUCAUUUGCUCAGCUUGGAUGCCAGCUAGAUAGUACGUCAACUGUCGUCGCACAUUUGGACUACAGAAUCACCAUACAGAAAUUCACCAAGCAUUGCUUCAGGAAAGAGAUGUUCUUUAUAAUGAAGAGGAGGGUGAUCAACGUUGCCUCUUGGUUUUUCUAUGAUUUUAUUUGCGGAAAAAUGCUGCUUCAGCUUUUCCUGGUAAAUCAUCCAGACAUGCAAGUUGCAAGGGUUGAAUCACGGGGUCCCUUUUUAGAAAUUAUCAAGCUCCAGGAACCCUUUAUUUGAAGUCAAUUUUAAUCCCAAGGAUGGACUCGUGGUGACAAUUGAGGAGUUCAAAACCAGUUCAGUUCAGUUUCAGUUACAGUUACAGUUACAGUUUCAAUUCAGUUCACUUCACUUCACUUCACUUCAGUUACGGUUUCAGUUCUGUUCCAGUUUAGUUUUAAUUCAGUUAAUAAUACAGUGGUUUAGUGGUAUGUGAACAGUGAGUUGUGCUUAGUGUCUCUAGUCGGAAAUAGUGUUUGAGAUAAGUGUGUACAGACGGAAAUAGUGUCUCGAGAGAAGUGAAAAGUGCUUGGGGCCUCGAAAAAUGUAUGGGAAAUUAUAAGAAGGACGAGACUUAUCUAUUGCUCAGCUUAAAUGUUAGCUAACCCUAGAUGGUACCACAAGUAUCGUCGCAAAUUUAGACUGCAAAUAGACCUGCCACAGAGAAAUUCCAUUGAACGAGUCAACAGUCGACGUGCCAUCAAAAACCUCUGGUUCCGGAGGAGACUAUUAGUGGCUAUUUAUUCUCUCUGUUGUCCUUUUAACCUUCAAGUAUGAGAUGGCCCUUUUCUUGACAUUUAGCAAGCGGAUGUAUUUGCGACGACUUUCCAACAACAACCCAACGAAUUGUUGAUCUUUUAUCAAAGAGUUCGUCCAUCAACGCGUCAUCAUAGAGUUCAUAGAGGUACCAGAGAUAUUACAAGUACGAGUCAACUUUCUGUCACAAUAGGAUCUCCAGUCAAGUACGACUCAAUGGAUUAUUCAACCGGAUACGUAAUUGCUUAGGACAAUGUACUCGAACAUUAUUCUGAUUAACAAUGAAGAUGAGUUUUCGACGAUAUAUGGAAGCAAGAAAACCGAACAAGUAACACCGUUCCUGGAAACUGUGGAAAUACGAAAUCUACAAGAAAGCGUUUUACUCAUACUUUCGCUUUAGAACUUGCGUAUAAAUUAAUGAGGAAUAUUUUUUUAUGAAAUUUGACUCACCAGCAGCACAAUUUCUGGUUCUAUCACCGGUUGGGUCAUUCGAAAUUAUACUCAAGUAAUGGAAACAUUGGCAAGAAAGAUACUACCGUUAAAACACCACAUCAUGGAACUUUGACUUGAUCACUGUAUUUGUCUGAAAGCUUUUCUUUUAUCCUUUCCUGUGCACUUGACAAAUUGAUCGCCGAUAAAUAAUUAUUUGCGAGGACUCUUUCAACGACAACCUAACGAAUCUUAUCUCGUAAACGUUUUUGCCAAGAAGAUCGUCCGUCCACAUAAGGCUGACAAAGGUAUCCAAAGAGACUAAGAGACUACAAAUUAACUUUCUACCAUGUUUAUGCUUAUGCAGUGGGAUAUUUUAACCGGAUACAACAUUCUUUAGGACAAUUUACUCGAACUGUUCCAAUUAACUGUGAAGAUAGAAGUUUGACAAUUUUGUAGAAGCAAGAAAACCGAAUAAGUAACACCUUACAUGGAAACUCUGAAAACAUAAAAUCUACAAGAAAUCGUUUUACUAUCGCUUAGAACUUGCAGAUGAACCAAUGAGGAACAAUUUUUUGACAAGACUCGUCUCACCAACAGCAAAAUUUAUGGUUCUAUCAUCGGUUGGAUCAUUAGAAAUUUACUCCAGAAAUGAAAAUAGUCUACAUCGAAGAAAUUGUAAGAAAAAUUGUACCGUUAAAAGAUCACAUCUAAUAAAUCAAUAAAGAAUAUUUUUAUUGAGACUCGACUCAAAUAGCAAAAUUCCUUCAAAUAUCAUCACUUUAACACUUUUCUCUUCACAGUGAGGGAAGCAGUUUGUAUCGAAGAGACUCCAAGAAGGACAGAACUGCCUCAAAAACUUUUUAAUGAAUUUGCCUGAAAAUUUAUCUCAAAUAAAAUAACUCCAUUUUCGUUUGGGCAUUUGGAUUAUAACAGCAAAUAAUUGCAAUGUGGCAAAGAUUCAAUUAGUCAACAGUCUUUCAAAUCAACAGACCAUUUGAAAUCAUUUUUCACUGUUGGUCACGUUUGCAAGUAAUCUAUAUGGUCAACAUUUUAGAGGUUGCUACAAUGAUCUUCGAGGAAAAACUUCAAAUUUAUUUGAUGUAAUGAAAAUCCAAAAUAUGUAAUAAGAUUUUGAGGCUUUAUAUGUUACCUAUGUUUUUAAUGGGAUAUUGUCUUUUUUUUAAAACUUAUUUUCCCCAAUUGUAGCUGUUUGCAGAAUUCUAUCAUCAUUUUACAUUGAAAACAUAGAGAAAAAUAGUCAAUUGUAAGUAGUUGGUUGUGAAGCAGACUUAUUGUGUGAUUUCUCUGUUGUUUUGCCAACACAGGAAUAACAGUAAAUCUGCUAUAUUUUGUUUGUUUAUGUUGACUCAACUAUGAAAUUAUUGUGUAAUUAAUUAGUAUUACAAAAUUUCUAAUUUUGUAACAAUGAUUAUUAAGUAAGUUAAGGGUUUUAAAUGUUACCUAUGUUUUGAAUGAGAUACGAAUUUUAUUUUAUUUAAAAAUAACAGACUUCAAAUUUGUCAUUAUUUCUGUCUUAUUCACAUUGAAAACAUAGUGAAUCCUUAAUAAAAAUUGUUAGUUUCAAGUAGACGAAUGUGAAGCAGAUUUAUUGUUACUGUUUGAUUUCUCUGUUUUACUAGCACAACAAAAACAGUAAACCUGUUUAUAAUCAGUUGUAAAAAAAAUAUUUUGAAAAAAAAACAAAAAUAUAAUAUAAAAGAAAAUAUACAAGAAAAAAAAUCAAAAAUACACUAAAAAAAUCAAAACAAGAAAUGUAAAACGAAAUGAAAAAAUUACUACAAAAAAGUACAUUGGAAAAAUAAAAAAUUAAAAAAAAACAAAAAGAACAAAAAUCAAAAGACAAAAAAUGAACAAAAAAAUAAAAUAAAACAAAAAAAAUACAGUCAAAAUCUUACAAAUAAAAAACUUCAGUUGCAAGGCAGUUUUUACAAACAUGUUAUUAAUUAAUUUUUGACAUGCAUUUUUACAAAAUUAGAAAAACAUUUAAGACUAAACCAUUUUCUUUAGUUUUAUAAAAGCUGCUUUGGUUUCACACUAAUUCAAGUAAAAGUGUGAUCUUUGUAAAUUGUUUAAAUAAGUGGAAAUGUAAUGAAAUUUGGAAAACUUUUUUGAUUUUUGUUUUGCAUUUGGUUUACAAUUCACAGUGAAUUGACGUCUUGUUUUCCAAAUUUCAAUAGUAAUUUUGCUUUUGUUUUGAUAAUAUUGGUUAUUGUGCAAAUGAGCACAGUUUUGUGAACGCUUAACAGCUUAACAUUAUGUAAACUAAAAUAAGUAAUUGCUCCCGGUCUUAAAAUAAAUCACUUCAAUGUUGUCAGAUUUUUGGAGAAACGUAUUUAGUCUAAAAAUUUCUGACAAUAAUUUUUUAUGUAUUUGUUUCGUUUAUAUUUUAUUGUAUCUUUGUUCAUUGUUUAUAUUAACGUAUGGAUAUUUGUUAACGAAAUACGAAAAAGAUUUCAUUAUUGGACAUUUCAAAAUUUAAAUUUCAUAUUUUACGUACUUAUUUUAUAAAUUUAAAAUUAAUUAUAAUCAUUUAACAAUUGUUUUUCGUAUUUCAGUUCUAUGAUUUUUUUAUACUUUUCUAAGAAUGUAAUAAGAAUUUGUGAAAUGUCGUAAUUUUGUAUUGUAAAACAUUACAACUAUUAGUUACAUUUAAUGUGACCGGGAAAUGCUGAAUUGUCAAGAUUUUUGGAAAUUUUAUUGGACUAAAAAUCAACUGACAAUCUAUGCUAUAGUAUUUAGAUUAAGUUGUGUUAAAUGUUAUACUAGUGGAUUUUUGUAGUUGUAAGCUAAAUAAUCAAUGUACUACAAAUAUAAAGAUCAACGAAAUAUGAAAAACAUCUAAAGUCAAAUAAGUUAAUUUGAAAUUUACUAAAAUAGCAGUUUUUUAUUUUUUAACGUUUUUUCUCUUUCGUUGGUUACAAAAAAAUUGUUACAUUCGGUUUACUUCAUGAAAACCAUUGUGGUGUCAAUAGCGUACUCUUAGCAUUAACUUUUAUAUGAGGUCAUGGUAACAGCUUAGUCAUUUGCACCACAAUGGUUUUUAUCAAAGUGAACCGUAAGUACUGUGGUUACUGUGUCAACUUUAACCAGUACUAUCAAAUUUGUUAAAUAGAUUUGUCUGCUAAGAAGGAA